ensembl:lincRNA
UUUUCAAUUUUAAAAUGAGUUAUUUUGUUUUAAAAGCUACUAAUUGGCUGUAACCAGUAGAAAUAUUUUCCUACUGUUACAAAUAAAAUAACGAAAUUAAUGAGGCCUUUUGGGUUUUCUCUCCCGUUUAAACUCUCCACUCAAAGGAAAAUAGCAUCAUUUUAUUUUCUCAAUAUAAAAGUAAUGCGUUACUGAUUUAAAAACAAAUGAGCAGAAAAGUUUAAAUAAGACACUCCCACGAUCUAUCUCCUUUUCUAACAUCUUGCUCCACAUUUUACAGGGGUGCAGAAGAAAUUGGACAUUCAUGACUUGUGAUGAGGGGAGGUAUAGAGAGAGACAGUUGGACUGGGACUAGAGAAGAUAAAAAAUUAUUCCUCGAAGAGGAAGAAAAGGCCAACGGACACGGGAGCAGAUACAGCCUCUCCCUGUAAACCAAAGAAAGGCAAAUUCACCACAAAGAGAAGCUACUUCUAGUCUCCGGGGUUGGCAAAGAGGAAAAUGAGUGGCAGGACCUGAUGUGUCAGGGAAGGAAGGGGAGGGCCGGCUUCUGCGGCGCUGCUGAUGGGAGUGGUAAUUGGGGUCCUGAUCUCAUGGUUGACGUGGCCCUCACGUGAGCUGGAGCCGACGCGUGCAGACGUCCUUCUAAUCCUAGUCUUCGUUUGGUCCGGUUGCACUCUUCCUAUCGCCCAGAGGGCGAGAGGGCCUGUGGCCUGGGGGAAGGAGGACGAGGUUCUGCCUGGAUCCCAGCAGGACGCUGUGCCAUUUGGGAACAAAGGAAUAGUCUGCCUGGAAUCCUUGCAGAUCUUGGGGCCGGAGGCCAGUCCAACCCUUGGAGCAGGAAGAAACGCAAAGUUGUCAAGAACCAAGGUCCUUGGUGUUGGUCCGUCGACCAAGCACUCACUUCUGAAGUUUGUCAGUCUUGAAGGUUUAGUGGAAGCGGAAACCGAGGUGAGAGAGGUAAGAAAUUGCUCCGGAGCAGAGGUAGUUGGUAUAAUGACACGGGGUGGGGGGGUGGGGGGCGGCGGUGUCCUGGUACCUUUGAGAUGGAGGAGUUGGCGGAGGCAAGGGCGGAGUUGGAGACCUUUAGGCAUUUCACGCCAGUACGGCUUUUAGAUAUUCUCACUUCAUUUUGUUACAAGGAAAAUGUUAACGAUGAAAAUGUGUGGCGACAUCU